rnacentral:rRNA from 1 species
GAUGAACGCUGGCGGCGUGCCUAACACAUGCAAGUCGAACGAAGCUUGACGGAUGAUUUCUUCGGAAUGAAACCAGAUAUGACUUAGUGGCGGACGGGUGCGUCACACGUGAGCAACCUGCCUUUCAGAGGGGGAUAACGGCUGGAAACGGUCGCUAAUACCGCAUGAUGUGUUCGGCUGGCAUCAUCUGAACUGCGAAGGUUUAUCGCUGAAAGAUGGGCUCGCGUCUGAUUCGAUAGUGGGUGGGAUAACUGCCUACCAAGUCUAAGAGCAGUAGCCGGACGGAGAGGUAGCACGGCCACAUGGGGAACGAGAGACGGCAGAGACUCCUAGGGGAGGCAGGAGUGGGGAAUAUUGCACAAGGGGGGAAACCCUGAUGCAGCAACGCCGCGUGAAGGAUGACGGUUUUCGGAUUGUAAACUUCUUUUCUUAGUGACGAAGACAGUGACGGUAGCUAAAGAAUAAGCAUCGGCUAACUACGUG